rnacentral:rRNA from 1 species
UACGUAGGGUGCUAGCGUUAAUCGGAAUUACUGGGCGUAAAGCGUGCGUAGGCGGUUCCUCAAGUCCGUUGUGAAAGCCCCGGGCUCAACCUGGGAAUGGCAGUGGAAACUAGGGGACUGGAAUCUGGCAGAGGGGGGUGGAAUGCCGCGUGUAGCAGUGAAAUGCGUAGAGAUGCGGCGGAACACCGAUGGCGAAGGCAGCCCCCUGGGCUGAGAUUGACGCUCAGGCACGAAAGCGUGGGGAGCAAACAGG